CCUACGGGCGGCAGCAGUGGGGAAUAUUGGGCAAUGGGCGCAAGCCUGACCCAGCAACGCCGCGUGAAGGAAGAAGGCUUUCGGGUUGUAAACUUCUUUUCUCAGGGACGAAGCAAGUGACGGUACCUGAGGAAUAAGCCACGGCUAACUACGUGCCAGCAGCCGCGGUAAUACGUAGGUGGCAAGCGUUAUCCGGAGUUACUGGGUGUAAAGGGCGUGUAGGCGGGAAAGCAAGUCAGAUGUGAAAACCAUGGGCUCAACCUGUGGCCUGCAUUUGAAACUGUUUUUCUUGAGUACUGGAGAGGCAGACGGAAUUCCUAGUGUAGCGGUGAAAUGCGUAGAGAUUAGGAGGAACACCAGUGGCGAAGGCGGUCUGCUGGACAGCAACUGACGCUGAGGCGCGAAAGCGUGGGGAGCAAACAGGAUUAGAUACCCUUGUAGUC
rnacentral:rRNA from 1 species